UUGUUUCGCUGUUAUAUGGGGAAAUCUAAUUAAAGUUUUAUUUUGUGUAAAUUUACCACGAAAAGGGGCAAGUUCAGUAUCCAAAUUGAAAGGUCCAGUCUCCCGGUAAGUUGUUACCUAAACUAUGGCACUUUCACUAACUAUAAGUAUGAGACUUCACGAAAUGUUCAGGGACUACAAAGAAACCCGUCUACUAACUUCAAACACUCUCAACAGGCAUAUCAAAGAUGAAUAUUCUAAUUCAAGGAAAAAGAAAGCAUUAUAUAUCGGAGAGCUUAUGAUUUUGUAGAAAAUUUUACUCUUUCAGAGUACGACGCAAAAAAAAAUCAGAUUUUUGUACACACCCUAAUGUACAUUUAUAUAUUAUGCAUGUCUAUUAAGGUAAUUGACAUGCUUCAAUGGGGAAAUGAAUGCUAAGUGAGCUAAUAAAAUGUCGGCGCCUAAAAAUUGAUAACGAAGAGUGUGUAUAUAGGAAUGGCGAAAACAAAACAAAUUUGAAAGGAAAAAAAGUGCUAAAUACUCGUAAAGCGCAGAUAGCCUUAAAAAUAUAUUGCGUACAUAACUGAGUAAUGGUUUUGAAAACAGUUUGAAAUGAGUGGUGGUACAAGUGUGGCGCAUUAAAAGAAGUGUUUCGUCUUUCAUAACAAAAUAAAAACGCGAAAAUUUUUUAAUAAUCUUUUAUAAAACAAUAAUUUUUUAUAAAAUUGUGGCUGUGUGUCAUGAGUGCGUAGCAGAAAAAUCAUUUGACUAUAUUGUAUUCAAUAGUUAUUGACCUUGCAACUGAGUUUCAAUGCUUUUUGAGUGUAUAUAAGUACAUACGCUUAAAUCCGAUUAGUACGAUUGGCUGACAGAGGUGUUAUACAGUAGAAAGUCCAUCAUUUUGUACUUUCACGUAUUAGUACAGGAUAACAAAUUGGACACGGCUUCUAUUUUGGGCAGAAGGAAACAAACAAACACACACGAAACCAGUGAAAAAAUAGUGCACUUGCCUACGUUAAACCUAAUCAUUUCGCCACCUUACAGCAAACGCUAAACGAACACAAAAGUGGAACUACAUUUUCACACUUCCGAAUGUCAUGAUUUAUCAUCAUGUGGACAUACUAUAUGAUGCUUGAGUUAUAGACAGUUACACAUGUAUUUGGUUAUACGUACAUGUUUACAUAUGCGAGUACAUUGUUUACAACUUAAGUGCAGCUAAGACAACAUAGAUAUUUAUGUAUAGUUAUAA